AUUGAACGCUGACGGCAGGCCUAACACAUGCAAGUCGGACGGUAGCACAGAGAGCUUGCUCUUGGGUGACGAGUGGCGGACGGGUGAGUAAUGUCUGGGGAUCUGCCCGAUAGAGGGGGAUAACCACUGGAAACGGUGGCUAAUACCGCAUAACGUCGCAAGACCAAAGAGGGGGACCUUCGGGCCUCUCACUAUCGGAUGAACCCAGAUGGGAUUAGCUAGUAGGCGGGGUAAUGGCCCACCUAGGCGACGAUCCCUAGCUGGUCUGAGAGGAUGACCAGCAACACUGGAACUGAGACACGGUCCAGACUCCUACGGGGGGAAGCAGUGGGGAAUAUUGAACAAUGGGCGAAAGCCUGAUGCAGCCAUGCCGCGUGUAUGAAGAAGGCCUUCGGGUUGUAAAGUACUUUCAGCGGGGAGGAAGGCGGUGCGGUUAAUAACCGUACCGAUUGACGUUACCCGCAGAAGAAGCACCGGCUAACUCCGUGCCAGCCGCCGCGGUAA
rnacentral:rRNA from 1 species